rnacentral:rRNA from 1 species
UACAGAGGUCUCAAGCGUUGUUCGGAUUCAUUGGGCGUAAAGGGUGCGUAGGCGGUCCUAUAAGUCAGUGCUGAAAUAUCCCGGCUUAACCGGGAGGGUGGCAUUGAUACUGUGGGACUUGAGUAAAGUUGAGGUUGGCGGAAUUGACGGUGUAGCGGUGAAAUGCUUAGAUAUCGUCAAGAACACCUAUUGCGAAGGCAGCUAACUAAGCUUUAACUGACGCUGAGGCACGAAAGUGUGGGGAUCAAACAGG